rnacentral:rRNA from 1 species
UGCCAGACUCCUACGGGAGGCAGCAGUGAGGAAUAUUGGUCAAUGGGCGAGAGCCUGAACCAGCCAAGUCGCGUGAAGGAUGACGGCCCUACGGGUUGUAAACUUCUUUUGUCAGGGAGCAAUUGGGUCCACGUGUGGGCUUAGCGAGAGUACCUGAAGAAAAAGCAUCGGCUAACUCCGUGCCAGCAGCCGCGGUAAUACGGAGGAUGCGAGCGUUAUCCGGAUUUAUUGGGUUUAAAGGGUGCGUAGGCGGAAUAUCAAGUCAGCGGUAAAAAUUCGGGGCUCAACCCCGUCGUGCCGUUGAAACUGGCGUUCUUGAGUGAGCGAGAAGUAUGCGGAAUGCGUGGUGUGGCGGUGAAAUGCAUAGAUAUCACGCAGAACUCCGAUUGCGAAGGCAGCAUACCGGCGCUCAACUGACGCUCAUGCACGAAAGCGUGGGUAUCGAACAGGAUUAGAUACCCCGGUA